AUUACCAAAUGAGACAAGAAAAUAGAAUGAAAGUUUUGAAGUAACCUACUAUACACGGACCUGGUUAUGUAUUUCGUUUCAGGUACUCUUAUUUACGAAGACAAUUUUGAUUAUUUCGAUUCUUCCAAAUGGUUUAUCAAAGUUGUAUCUAACUCCCACAAUAAUGAGCUUCAGUAUUAUACCGAUAGAACAGAUAAUAUUCGAGUUGAAGAUGGACACUUGGUCAUAACACCACUCAAUGAAAACUAUGAUGACAAACAAUAUACAUCUGGAUGAAUUCAUAGCAAGUUUGCGUGGAAAUAUGGACGAGUUGAAGUAAGAGCUAAAUCUCCAAAUGGAUACGGGUUGUGGCCGGCUAUUUGGAUGAUGCCAAGAGACAGUGUGUACGGUGAUUGGCCGGAAAGUGGCGAGAUCGACAUUAUGGAAGCGAGAGGACAAGAACUUCAUCAGUUUGGUAGCACUAUUCACUACGGUAUAGUUCAUGGCAUUCAUUACUUGGAAACAAGCGGCGACGUGCAAUUACAAUGUUCAAUCGAUCAAUAUCAUGUUUAUACUUUGGAUUGGACGCCAACUGAGUUGGUAAAAAGGGUUUCUGGUUUACAACCAAUAGGUUACAGGGUUUAAGGCUUGCCGCAGCUGUUAUUGUGGUUUGUGUCGUCCUUAGCCAAACACUUGACUGCAACUGUUCCAACCCAGUGGUCACUAAUAGUUUGUCUUAAUUGUCAGCCAUGCAGAUUGCUACCAAUUAUAAAUUUGACCAAGCAAACACACAUAACAGGAUACGACAGUUACAUAAAAACAAAGACACAACGAACAUUUAAAAGUUUGCGUAAAGCACAGUAAAACACCCAACACACCCUUAUACGAUUAUUCAGUUUAGCCUAUUAACAUAUUGCGAUUUUCAGAUUUACAGUUUGGAUGGAAAACCAUAUUACAGCCAGAGCCUGGAUCGUGUUAUAAGUCGUCUGUAU